rnacentral:snRNA from 1 species
GGAUGUGAGGGCCAUCUGUGACAUCAGUCACCUCAUUGACUGCCAGGUUUGAUCUGGUUGACUGAUCUAGUUGGCUAGAUAGUGUUUCUUUCCUCUCCCUUCCUGAACAUUCGUGUACAUCCCCUUCCCUGGAAGCUGUGAGAUCAGUCAGAGAAAAUCUUCUCCAAUAUAAGAGGCUUAUUUCUUGGUCGAGGGCAUGUAAGUGAGUGUGUGUGUUCCCCUACUAGAGCACUAAGAGACCCCUCUACUCUCAAGCUCUCAAGAAGUAUUGGGGUGACUCAGUGAGUUGUAGGAAAUAGUAAGAGGGUGUCCCUUCCUCC